ensembl:lncRNA
GUUCAAUAUGUGGAGAAGGCAAUGGCACUCCACUCCAGUACUCUUGCCUGGAAAAUCCCAUGGACAGAGAAGCCUGGUAGGGGGGUGCCAUUGCCUUCUCCUAUUUCAAUACAGAAUGAGUGAAAUGUAGUACAAAAUUCAAACAAAUUGCAAUUAGUAGGAACUUGUCUGCUGCGUUCACGUUAAGCCUGAAAUGGCCCCAGCUUAUUGAUCAGCGUACUUUGUGUAUUCCCUGACAUUCAGGCCUGGUGUGGAUGAUGGGUGUGGCUUUGAGCCUCUGAGUCAGACCUGGGCUUGAGGCCCAGCUCUGCCAUUUAUUAGUGUGUUCCUUGGACCUUUGCUUCGUAGUGGAUAAAAGGGGAUUGAUUUUAUUUGCCUCAGAAAUAAAAAGUGCUACCGCCCACCCCAGCUGGUUCUUGCUCCAGCUCUGAUCACGUUUUCUUCCCCAGGAGGGGGCCUAAUCCUCCACGCAGCUGGGGGCUUCCACCCUCCACUUCUGAUCACAGCUUUUCCACCCACCAGUUCUUCAAAUCCAGGUUCUCUGUUAUGCUGCCUGGUUUUGGAAAGGGUGGAGUCCCCAGCUGGGAAUGAGCCCGCAGCCUGAGCGUGGGGGAAGUUGAUUCACUGAGGGGAGAAGUCAGCGAGCCCGUGACCAGGUUGCUAAGCGAGAGCAAAUGCCUGUUAAAUAUAUUUAUAUCAAAUAUUGACAGUGACAUGAGUGAUGUCAUGUUCUAGAGCAGAUGUUUCCUCUGGAUACUUCCAGUACACUCACGGGGAGGAAGUACGUGGUGUCCGAAGCAGGCCUUGGAAAACCGUCAGGCUGUAAACAGACUGUGAGGUCACUGGGCCAGGCCUCCAGCCGUGGUGUCCCCCUUUGCAAUCGUCUGGGUUAACUUCUGUUUUCUUAUCGGCUCCCAUUACUUUUUUCUGUUUGAUAAGGUUGAGGGGUGAAGGACAGGUCCCAAAGUCUGAAGGCUGUAACAUCUGAUCAAUUUCAGGAUGAUUCUAUUUGAUUUUUCCCAGAGGAAACUCAUCAUUUGCCUGCUUACUGCAUGGGCUGCUCCCCCAGUAUUUUUC